UCAUGGACCAAAUACUGGGUCGCUCUCUGCGGAACCCAGCUUUACUACUACCCUGCCAAGUCCCUGAAGGCCACUGAGAGAAAACAUUUCAAGUCGACGUCCAGUAAGAGUGUGUGUGUGGUGGGUCUAAUGGCCAUGAUGGCUGACGACCCCGAGCAUCCCGACGUCUUCUUGCUGACGGACUCCGAGCACGGUAACACCUACAAGUACCAAGCAGGGAACAAAACGAACGCUUCGCUCUGGUUCAAACAUCUGAGUGCUGCCUGUCAGAGCAAUAGGCAACAGGUGCCAGCCAAUCUGAUGUCAUUCGAGUGACCGAUGCUGAGGAGUGUGACUGAGCAAAAGGAGAGAGAGAGAUGAGGAAACAGAUGAGGAGGAUGAGGAGGAGUAUUGACUCAGUCGUGGGAGCUUUCACUGCCAUGAGCCCUGACCGCCGAUUCUCCGAUUCUAGCCCUGGCCUCACUGCAGCCUCACCUGCCACCACUGCCUUAACCACAGUACCCUGUGUGUGUAUGCGUGUAGAUGUGAGAGAAUGUGAGUCUGUGUGUGUGCGUGCGUGCGUGCGUGCGUGUGUGUGUGUGUGUGUGUGGAUGGAAGUGACUGUUUUGGGUGUACCGACUACUGAACAAGGACCUGCACCACUGCUCUCGUCUCCCAUUUGCCCUCAGUGUCUUUUGUUUUUAGUCUUCAGCACUUCAGUGGAGCCAUUUGACUUCUCCUCUCCUCUCUCACAGACAGACUGUCCUCGGAUGGACAGAAAUAAUCCUCUCCUCUGUUAUGCUUUCCUUUUUAAGGGGUUAACUAUUUUUAAUUGUGUUCCCCUACCAUGCUCGAAUGCAAGAUUUCCGCCUUUUUGAAUGGGCUGGACACACAAUCACAGCACGCACACUCACAUCGGACUAACCCGCUGGACUUUGGAGGGUUUGAAAACACUUUUUUUUUUUAACUUACUCAGUUCACACUUUCAAUUGUUCUCUUAAUUCACUUGUGUUGGCUUGGAGUCACAUGCUUAUUUACAUGAGCCAUGCACUCACACACUCUCACACACACACACACACACACGCACACACAGGCCUAUCUGAUUGCAUCGUCGUAAAACGUAAGGGCUCUGAUUCGCAAUCAAUUCCAGCAGAAACAAUUCCCACACUUCCUGAAUGUGUCUAGUUUUUAUUACAGAACUUUCCCCCUUCUUUCUCAUAUACUCGCUAAGUGUUCUGUACGUAUGUGUGUGUUUGUAUAACUGCAUUGGGUGGCGAGGGGCGAGGGGGGAGGGUGGGAGGGCAAAAUACUUGCUUAUCUUACAGGAAUCUUGUCUGUGUUUUCCACAUUGGUACGAUCGUCCCAGAAUCUAAGCUAAGACGUGUUCACGGUUGGAGAGUUAAUCCUUUUACAAACCUUCAUUUUUGUUUUCUCCAGUGUUGUCUGCUCUCUGUCGGCUGCCGCCCGGUUCACCAGACUCACACACACACUAAACACUAAAGACUUGAAGCUGUGAAAGAGUCCAGGAGACAGAGAGAGCAUCGAGGACAUCUAAUACAUGAUUUUAUCUCCUCUUCUUCUUGUUGCUUAAUAUGGUCAGAGCCUCUGGUCUGGAGCAGACAUUCAAAGCUACCUGGAGCCAUACAGAGUCUACUUUAAAUCUUGUUUGUUUAUAUUGUUUUUGUGUUAGUUUUUUUUUUCCUUUUUUGGGAGGGAUGGUGCAGUUCACAGUAUUACCAUGUAGUAGAUGUUCGCACGUCAACGUAGUUAUGUCUGUUACAUUUGAAUGUUACAUUUUUUUGUUUUUCUCACCUUUCGGAGCAGUUAUUUUGAACAUUUUAUGUACAUGUGAAUUUUAUUUUUCUUUUUUUUGCCCCUUAUUCUGUUAACUAGGACCCAGCUCAGUUUAAUGCCCUAACUGUGUUACAUCUGAUUUGGAAUAGCAUAAGCACCUUGGUUGUCAUUAGUGCCAAGUGAUGUAACGUCACUGUUGAUCUGCGUGAGGAUGAGCAGAGCUGCAGUGGCAUCAGAUGUCGUGUAGGUGCUGGCAUGUUUCAGUGUGGAAAACCUGGGAUUUACAGUUUCCUCUGUGCUUCACACGCGUCUCACGGUGCCAGAAAUAGACUAUUGCUGUUGGUUAUCGUCGGGAGCAAAUUGCAUCCACAUGAAAAAACAUGAUCAGGAUGACGGAGAGGACAAUGAUGGGGAGCUUUUCGCCCAGUAAUAUUCAUCAAAUUCUAAUCUCUCUUUUUAAAAAAAAAACAAAAAAAAAACAGAUGUUUACAUUGUAUGUUUACACAAUCUUUUGCCCCAAAUCACAAUCCCAUCAGUGCUCCACGUGAGUUGUAUAAACCUUGGUAUUACAGGAUGUAGAAACAAAGUGUCCCAUCUGUCAGUGGGGUAUAUUAAAGGGUAAUGUCUGUAUUAUUUUUAAAGCUGGCCCCUAUUUUCCCAUGUGUCUGUGUCUCAGUAAGUAAAGGGAACAACUGUUUUUAAUACCGGCUCACUAUUGAGCAAGCAAAACAGGCUGCAGUGUUAUCACUUGGGUCAGUUUCCGUUCACUUCAAGUGUUUGUUUUUGCCACUGACAGGCUCAGAUUGUUUUAAGUGUCUGACCACAUUGUGGAAAGGAUCCCGACAGAGAUAAACAUUUAUGUUGCAGAGUAAGAUCCUCUUUGAUUCACCAGAAACAGCCAAACCUACCAGACUCCAUUUAAAUAAACAGUGAUUUAAGCAUGUAUAGAGGCAGCAUAUUUCACGUCUAACUGGGUGAAUUAAGGGUUAAUUUCAACCAAUCUAGAGAUGGUGAUUGCUGGAGCAGUGGAAAGAUGAACCAAGGCGGGUUUUGUAAGUUUUAUUAUGCUUCUAUUUAAAUGAAGUGUCUUUCAGCUGUAAGAACCAUAGUGUAAGUGACAUUUGACCGACAGGACAGCCAAAACAAAAAAUCACCACACUCUGUCCUGACUAUUUAUAGUAAUUUAAAUGUUAAAUAUUAAAACCUUGUAAACAUGUGGAGGACAAUAUACUUAAUGAUCAAUAUUUAUUGAUUUUUUUUUUUAAAUAAGUAAGUGCCAUUACACCCUUUUGGCCCUAAAUAGCUCAGUGUUCUCAGUGUUAAGUCUUUUAGUUUUUGAUUAAUAAUUCUGGGUUGGUUUGGAAUUCAUU